ACAGCCACGCAGCCACGAAACCCGGGAGGGGGGUGGUGGAGAGCGGUAACGUGCUCCUCUCUUGCCUGUCAUUGCAGAGAUAUGGCCCAAAGCUGGGGAGUCGAGAAAGAUGUCUGACCACCCUUAUGGAGGCAGCAGUGACCAAAGGAACUAAAACAGACAUGGUUAAAAUGGUGCCAGGACAAUUGGAUAGCCCAGUAUCAAGAAAAAAACUCCCUGACUGAUACUUCACACUACAGUGAUUUCCAGAUGGAUUUCAGAUCUAAAGCUUUUACAAGUAAGCCUAGAAAGCUAUCUUCGUUACCUCCAAGGAGGCAAAGAUUUCUAAAAUGGACCUGAAAACACUAACCAUGAAGGAGAAAAUUGAACUGAAGAAAUGAGUACGUACAUUGGGGAUGUUGGGAGUGAGGUUUCCGUCGGUGAAGGAAGAUACUUCUGUGGAACAGAAGAAGGCUGGGAAGAGCCAGUGGUCCUGGAUUAGAACUGGAACAUUGGGACGGAACCAGGGCUCCCUGAAGAAAGGACCAAUUCCAGGGUAGGGCAGAGAGAGUACAAGACAGCCUGAAACAUCUAGUAAGUACGUCCGUGGUGUGCACUCAGCAACUCAGGGGCCUCAGAUGCAGGAUCAACUCCUCUCCAGCCGUUUCUGUCUCUAGGCCUUCGCGAUCCAGUCCUUUGUGCUGAAGAGCUCUUCAAGGGCCCUCACCGAAAGAUGGUUGGUACCACCCCCCCAACACCUCUCGUCCUGGUGCCUCGAGGCUUCUUUCUGUUGUGCAGAGCAACAGGGCAGUUCCCUGCACCACUACCGAGGAUUUUCUUUUGCCUUCCAGAACCCAAAGACCGUACCUCUCGGUUUACUACUUCAUCCUUCUGCUCCUCUCUUGGAUUUUUCUCCACAGGCUCCUUUCUAGUUGCCUCUGCGUGGACCAUCUGUGAUAUUGUAGGUCACGUAAAAGAAGCUGUACGUCUGCGCUGCUUAUUUCGCAAUCUUGCGGAUCAAAUUCCUGACACUGAAGCUUUACCUUGCGAGACUUUCUCUGAGAGGCUGUCAGCACUUUCCUCCCUAUCUUUUUCUCAGGAUGUGUUCUCUGCAGAGCUCCAUCAUUUUUACGUGCAUGACUCCAAUUACUUUUCAUUGAACCCUUGACAUUUCAUUCCAGAUUAAAGACUAAAACAUGAAAACUAAAUGCAAUGCCUUGUUCCAGGUGAGACCCUGGACCCCUGGUGAAAUCUAAGAAAGGUCUACAAAUUAUACUUGUGCAUCAGUCAGUAUUAACACCCCGAUUUUGAUAGUUGUGCUGUGGUGAGCUGAAGGACCAGCCUUGCUCUGAAGACACACAUACUCAGGUAUUGAGAGGGAAGGACAAAAGGCAACAAUGCCAUCAACUUACUCUCAAAUGGUUUGAAAAAAUGUUAAGAAUUGGUGAAUCUGGCUGAAAGAUACAUGGGAUUUCUUUGUAUAAGUCUUCUGAGGUUAUCUCAAAAUAAAAAGCUACAAAAAAAGAACAGGAGAAAAUUAAAGAUGUUCCUCACACUAAUGAAGGCCGAUAGAAAUAUGUCCUUGCAGAAAGAGCUGCUAACGGGUGUAUUUCAGGAACAAGGUGGUUAAAUCCAAAAGAAAGGAAUGGGGAUGUGAAAAGACGUGCAAGCAAAGAAACGGAUAAAUAUAUUGAUAAAGCAAACAAGCACUGUUAAUAAUAGUGACUAAUGCUCAAUAACAGUAAUCAUCAGAGAAAUGAAAAUCAAACCCAUAAUGAAAUUCUACCUCACACCCAUUAGGAUGGCCACUAUUGAGGGGCACCUGGGUGGCUCAGUCAGUAAAGCAUCUGACUUUGGCUCAGGUCAUGAUCUCACGGUUGGUGAGUUUGAACCCUGUGUCAGGCUCUGUGCUGACAGUGUGGAGCCCGGAGCCUACUUCAGAUUCUGUGUCUCCCCCUGUCUCUGCUCCUCCCCUGCUUGUGCUCUGUCUUUCUCUCUCUCAAAAAUAAAUAACCAGUUAAAAAAUUUAAACAAGGACGGCCCCUAUUCAAAAAAAUAAAAAGAAAGAAAGAAAGAAACAGAAAACAGGGAAGGUCUGAGUCAGUUGAGCAUCAGAUGCUCAGUCAGUUGAGCAUCCAACUCUUGGUUUCAGCUCAGGUCAUGAUCUCACAGUUGAUGAGUUUGAACCCUGCGUCAGGUCUGUGCUCUGUGCUCUCUCUCUCUCUCU